UCUCCGUAGGUGAACCUGCGGAAGGAUCAUUACUGAGUUCAUGCCCUCACGGGUAGAUCUCCCACCCUUGAAUAUUUAUACCUUAGUUGCUUUGGCAGGCCGUGGAAACACCAUGGGCUCCGGCUUAUGCGUGCCUGCCAGAGGAAACAAACUCUGUUUUUAGUGAUGUCUGAGUACUAUAUAAUAGUUAAAACUUUCAACAACGGAUCUCUUGGUUCUG
rnacentral:misc_RNA from 1 species